UGUAGACCUCCACGUUGUCAGUUGAUCCGAGUCACCACUCCCUGACCCUUCCCUAUAUAAAACCCAUCCUCAAUCCAAUCCAUUAGACCAUCAUCGAGUCUCACCAGACCAGAAGCUCACUAAAACAUUUUUCGCCAUUUCUCUCACCUUCGCUGUCGACGAUCUGCGCACCGGAAAAUGAAUAUUCCGGUGAAGGUCUCAUCCUUAAAAACACCUGCUGCCCAUAUCUCCGAUCAUCGCAGUCACGUUUUCCACGAAACCAACCUGCCUUUUUUGUCUUAGUGCGAAAAGCUAUUCCAUUCUUCUUCGCAAAGAUAAUUCCAGAAGAAGAGGGAGAAGGUGGAGAGCUCGUGGUGUCUCGAAAAUUGCUCAAGUCACACGUUGCAUUGUGGCAAAUAGGUCUUUGAAGCAAAUGCCCGACAUUUUUCGCCAUAUCCCACCAUCAUUGUGGUUGGUGCACUGGUAAUGCUAUGUAUUUUAUUUCAUUGUAAUACAUUAAGAUUAUAAUUUUAGGGUCUGCUGCAAGGUUAUUUUUCUA